UCUCCGUUGGUGAACCAGCGGAGGGAUCAUUACAGGAUCGAAAGACUCCUAUAACCCCUGUGAACUUACUACAAAUACGUUGCUUCGGCGGGUGCCCCGGGUCUCCCGGCGCGUUCAGCCCGCCGGAAGCCUUCAAAUUCUGUUUCUUUGCGUUGGCAUCUCGAGUAUACAAAAAUAAGUUAAAAAUUUCAACAACGGAUCUCUUGGUUCUG
rnacentral:misc_RNA from 1 species